rnacentral:rRNA from 1 species
AGACUUUGAUUCUGGCUCAGAACGAACGCUGGCGGCAGGCCUAACACAUGCAAGUCGAGCGCGCCCUUCGGGGUGAGCGGCGUACGGGUGAGUAACGCGUGGGAACGUGCCCUUUGCUGCGGAAUAGCCACUGGAAACGGUGAGUAAUACCGCAUGAGCCCUUCGGGGGAAAGAUUUAUCGGCAAAGGAUCGGCCCGCGUUGGAUUAGGUAGUUGGUGGGGUAAUGGCCUACCAAGCCGACGAUCCAUAGCUGGUUUUAGAGGAUGAUCAGCCACACUGGGACUGAGACACGGCCCAGACUCCUACGGGAGGCAGCAGUGGGGAAUCUUAGACAAUGGGCGCAAGCCUGAUCUAGCCAUGCCGCGUGAGUGACGAAGGCCCUAGGGUCGUAAAGCUCUUUCCCCUGUGAUGAUAAUGACAGUAGCAGGUAAAGAAACCCCGGCUAACUCCGUGCCAGUAGCCCCGGUAAUACAGAAGGGGUUAGC